UCGAUUGCUGGGCUCGGGAUGAAUGAUUCGCGCACGGGUGAGUAACGCGUAGGUAACCUACCUUUAAGCGGGGGAUAACUAUUGGAAACGAUAGCUAAUACCGCAUAAAAGGAGCUAACCCAUGUUAGCUUUUUAAAAGGUGCAACAGCAUCACUUAAAGAUGGACCUGCGUUGUAUUAGCUAGUUGGUAAGGUAACGGCUUACCAAGGCUUCGAUACAUAGCCGACCUGAGAGGGUGAUCGGCCACACUGGGACUGAGACACGGCCCAGACUCCUACGGGAGGCAGCAGUAGGGAAUCUUCGGCAAUGGGGGGAACCCUGACCGAGCAACGCCGCGUGAGUGAAGAAGGUUUUCGGAUCGUAAAGCUCUGUUAUAAGCGAAGAAUAGGAGUAAGAGUGGAAAGUUUACUCUAUGACGGUAGCUUAUCAGAAAGGGACGGCUAACUACGUGCCAGCAGCCGCGGUAAUACGUAGGUCCCGAGCGUUGUCCGGAUUUAUUGGGCGUAAAGCGAGCGCAGGUGGUUUAAUAAGUCUGAAGUUAAAGGCAGUGGCUCAACCAUUGUACGCUUUGGAAACUGUUAAACUUGAGUGCAGAAGGGGAGAGUGGAAUUCCAUGUGGUA
rnacentral:rRNA from 1 species